rnacentral:lncRNA from 1 species
UGCCAGCCUCUGACUGCCACACACAUGUAUUACUCAUGCCCAUACACACACACACACACACACACACACACACACACACAGGAGGGAGGCAAGCUUUGUUAUAAACCCAGAACCAGCAUUUGUUCUGUCACUCCAUACUGAGUUCUCCAGUGGCUUCGCUCUAAGUUAGUGUUAUCAUGAGGAAACAGAACAGGACGGUAGGUAGAAUAUUGCAAAGGGGUAAGCCAGAGAAGCAGGACUGAUGGCAUUUAGAUCAAUGAAAUCCAAUUCAGAAAUAAGCCUUCAUGUUUCAAUUGAUUGUUUAAAAGGGUUACAAGACACAUGUAACCUAACAAAAUUAAAUCAAGAAGAUAUAAACAACUUAUAUCCACAACCUGCAAACAAAACUUUAAGAAAAGCUAACACUAGUGCUACUCACACUGUUCCUCAGAUGAAAAUCCAAGGAACACGAGCAAACACACUCUACAAACCCAACACAGCCCUGAUCAAAACCUUAGGGAAAAAAAAAAACAAUAAAAGAACAAAACUAUAGAUCAAUUCUUUGAUCAUAGAUGUAAUGGUUCUCAAUAAACAUCAAUGAAUCAAAGUCAGGGACAGAUUACAGAUUGGGAAGAUUGCACACCAUGACUAAGUUUGUUUUAUCCAGGUAGGUAACUUUGUUAAUCCAUUACACAAAUAAAUAAAUCUAAUAUAAUACAUAGGAUAGAUAUCAUGUGAUUAUUUCAACACACACACACACACACACAAAACACCUUUGAAAAAAUUUGACAACCUUCAUAAUAAAAGCCCCGUGGAAACUAAGAAUUGAAGGAGCCAAAACUAGCCUAAUAAAGGUCAUAUAAAACAAAGCUGUAAGUAACUGAACUAAAUGGGAAAUGGCAUCACCUCUAACACAGGGAAUGAGAUAAGAGAGCCUGAUGGAGACCUGGGCAGCAUCAUGGCCAGCAGGUAAACCAUCCACAUGAGGUGAAGAAUGAAACUCAAAUCAGCACCAAUUUUGCAGGUGCUGGCCCUAAAUUUCCAGAACCUGACCUUGGAGUUUAUUUUUCUUACACAUUUAAGCACCGUAAAACUUUAGGGGAAGGUUUCCAUGUGACAGUUAUCACGAUGAAAGUCCCUAUAGAAGUAGCAAAGCAUGUAUGAUCUUUACAAUAAGAAUGGAUUGGAUUGGCUGAUAAACAGUGCUCAGGCCUAAGGAGGAAGGAUUUGUAAUAAUGAUCGAUUACUGAUGGAGGAUACAAAGGACUUUGAGCCUCCUUUGUAAGUUGGGUUCUACUCACUGAGAGACAGACUCAGGAUUAGGGCCUCCGCAAUGCUCAAGGUUUGGCAGGGGUGGGAGGAUUCAGGAAGGCCUGCUCCACAGCCCAGCAAAAGGAUCACUAGGUUGUCGGACAACACCCAUCCCAGCUUCCUAGGCAACCGGUGUCAGUUAUUUUCUUCCUUUGAAGAAAUAGGCUCGCAUGUUUAAUACGUCUGGUUCCUCAAACACUUUGUCCUGUGCCUAUGUUCCUGUUUCUAUGCAGUGCCUCCUACAAGUGCCCACUUACAUAAUUCUUAUUCAGUAUAUCUUUCAAAGUGGUAGCUUGAAAUAAAAAACAAAAAGAAAUAAAAAAUGGCCAUAAAUAUGAUGGAGAAGUUAAUAUAUCCCUAUUGUAGACAACUCAGAGCUACAUUUAAAAGACCCUAAAGAUUCCAUUAGAAAGUUCACGGACCUCAACAUUUUCCCUAUAAUGUUACUCAAAAUAUAAUCUAUACACCAUGUGACCUAGCCAGUCAACUCAUGGGCAUACACCCAAAGUACUCAGUGUUAACAUAACCCAGAGAUACUUGUAUAUCCAUACUUAUUGUAAUGUUCACCAAAAAUCAGGAAAAAGGGAACAGCCUAGACAUUCAUUGAAAGAAAAGACUUUACAUAUUGACAAAAUAUUCAGUAGCCUUCCUAUAUAUCUGUAAGAAACCUCAUUUGAAGUAAGUUCAUCAUGUGUACAUAGAAACACUACUGAUUUUUGUGUUUAUUUUGCAUCCUAUUUUUUAACAUUGAAAUCUCCAGUUACAUGAAUCUUCCUGAAAAUGUCUUUUUUUCCCCCUGCUCGGUGGCUGAAUAAAGUUUCAUUAUGUAUAUGUU